CAAUGAAAUGAUUUGAUGCUGUUGCAUCUUUUUUUUUUUUUUAAAUAAAUAACACAAAACAAAAGUGGUCAUCACUCUCAAUUUUCCCGGCCAGCACAAAAAAAGGUAGAAAACAAAAAUCAAAAUUCCCGCCUAAGCAUUCCCCAAAUAAAAAUAUAAAAGAAAAUUUCUCAUUCUCAUCAUCACUUACACUCCAAAGAAAGAGGUUCACACUUUUUUAACAGCAGUGUUUCUUUCUCCGUCACCAAAAAUGGAAGAUGGUUUAAUAUCGGUAGAUCGUUGGGCAAGAGGAAGUGAAGCAUAUUUCUUAACACAUCUUCACUCCGAUCACACUAAAGGCCUUUCUUCUAAAUGGUCACAUGGCCCACUCUUCUGCUCUCCAAUCACCGCCAGACUACUUCCAAUCAAAUUCCCCAAUUUCAAUCUCUCUCUUCUCCGCAUUCUUCAUACUGGCACCUCCCACACUAUCUCACUCCGUUCACCUUCUUCUUCCAAUCCCACCACCGUCAUUGUCACCGCCAUCGAUGCCUGUCACUGUCCCGGUUCGAUUAUGUUGCUUUUUCGUGGAGAUUUUGGUUGUGAGCUUCAUACCGGUGAUUUUCGUUGGGAAGGUAGUUGUGAGAAGGCAAGGAUUGCUAGAGAAAUGCUUGGUGUUGCUCUAAAGGAACAUGAUGGUGUUGUUGAUGUUGUUUGCCUUGAUAAUACUUAUGCUAAUCCUACUUAUGAAUUUCCUAGUCGUAGCGUUGCGGCUCAACAGGUAAUUGAUAUAAUUUCAUCUCAUCCUGACCAUGAUGUUAUUAUCGGAAUCAAUAAUUAUGGGAAAGAAGAUCUCUUGCUUCAGAUUUCAAGGGCCUUUGAUAUAGAGAUUUGGGUGUCGCCACAGCGGUUGCAGACUAUGCAUCUUCUUGGUUUACCUGAUGUAUUUACAACAGAUACAACCGUUACUAGAGUCAGAGCUGUUCCAAUGUAUAGCUUUAGCAGGAAAACAUUGGAGGGAUUAAAUUUAAUACGCCCAACUAUAGGAAUUUUGCCAUCAGGUCUUCCAUGGGUAAAGAAAUCCCUUAAAAAGAACGAGUUUCUCUCUGGUUCUUUUUUGACGUCGGGUUCUAAGAGAAGCAGGUGUGACACAGAUAGUACUCAGGUCCAGAUGGAUAAGAAAAUCGACAAAACAGGAUCCCCCAAAAUGUUCGACAAGUAUAUAUUUUCAGUUCCUUACUCUGAUCAUUCAAACUGUGCAGAGCUAGAGGAUUUUAUUAAGCUUGUCAAGCCAAGUAGUCUGAAGGGUAUCGUUUCUUCCUCUACAUGCUAUAUUGAACCCAUGUACUACUUUGGCCGACUUUGUACCGGUAACCAACCAGCACCAAUGCUACAUAACGUUGAAGAUGUUAAUGUUGAGUUAGAUAGAAACAUAAGCAAGGAAAGUUAUUUACUGAAAGGAAGUGGUAAAAGGGUGGUAACAAUCAACCCUGAAACAUCAUUUGAAGAUGAUAAUGUUGAGUUAGAUAGAAAUAGAUACAGAAGGAAGACUUCGAAGGUUAAGUUAGGUUCUCGUAUGACAAAGUUUAUAAAACGGGGUGGAGUUAAAAUUUUAGAGCAUGUUGAAGAAUAGUUUCGCAUGUGGCAUAAUUGAUCAAGUAUGAUGUGUACGAAUGAAGUUGGGCACUGCUUUGGAAGUCCAUGUUGCAAGGAACAAAUAUGGUGAAAAAUUGAGUCUUGGAGCAGAAGAAAGGGUUUUGGAGCAUGAUUAAGGAAUGGAAGGAUCUAGAGCAUGAUUUGGAGCUGAUUCAGGCCAAAAAUAUGAAGAUCAUGUGCAAAAAUAUCAGGCCCGUGCCUGACAAAAUCCAAACCGAGCCUCCAAGUUAUUCAAGCAUGCCAAACUCCAGAGAGACUGGCACGGCCCGUGCCUGCAGGUGCACGACCGUACUCGAUGCCAGCUCCCCUUUUUGCUGUUUUGUUCAAAGACUGACAUGGCUCAUGCUAAGCUGAGCACAGCCGUGCCAAAGUUUCAGGCUGCUAUUUUGAUAUAUUUUCAGACCUAAAAGCCCAUGGGUUGCUUGCUAUGUAAUUUUUAUUCAUUUUCUUAGGGCUUAAGUGAAGUAGCAAUAAAUGUCACAAGAAAGGGGGGGUUUGAAUUGUGACCCUUUUUAAAUUAUUCCUGAAAGUUUAUAUUAAAUUUUAUACUCAAGAAAAUUUCUUGGUUAA